rnacentral:rRNA from 1 species
UACGUAGGGGGCAAGCGUUGUCCGGAUUUAUUGGGCGUAAAGAGCGUGUAGGCGGCUUUGCAAGUCCGUUGUGAAAACUCGAGGCUCAACCUCGAGACGCCGGUGGAAACUGCAAAGCUAGAGUCCGGAAGAGGAGAGUGGAAUUCCUGGUGUAGCGGUGAAAUGCGCAGAAUAUCAGGAAGACACCCGUGGCGAAGGCGGACUCGCUGGGACGGUAGCUGCGCUGAGGCGCGAAAGCGUGGGGAGCAAACAGG